rnacentral:pre_miRNA from 1 species
ACUUGUAACAAUCUGUUUUUAAGAAAGGAUAAAUUAUUAUAAAAUAAAUGAAUUCUAGAUAGGUUUUCCUUCAAGACAAACAUCUAGC